rnacentral:rRNA from 1 species
UACGUAGGGGGCGAGCGUUGUCCGGAAUCAUUGGGCGUAAAGAGCGUGUAGGCGGCCAGACAAGUCUGCUGUGAAAACUCGAGGCUCAACCUCGAGCUGUCGGUGGAAACUGUCUGGCUAGAGUCCGGAAGAGGAGAGUGGAAUUCCUGGUGUAGCGGUGAAAUGCGCAGAUAUCAGGAAGAACACCCGUGGCGAAGGCGGCUCUCUGGGACGGUACUGACGCUGAGACGCGAAAGCGUGGGGAGCGAACAGG